AAUGGGCGCAAGCCUGAUCCAGCCAUGCCGCGUGAGUGAUGAAGGCCCUAGGGUCGUAAAGCUCUUUCGCCUGUGAAGAUAAUGACGGUAGCAGGUAAAGAAACCCCGGCUAACUCCGUGCCAGCAGCCGCGGUAAUACGGAGGGGGUUAGCGUUGUUCGGAAUUACUGGGCGUAAAGCGCGCGUAGGCGGAUUAGUCAGUCAGAGGUGAAAUCCCAGGGCUCAACCCUGGAACUGCCUUUGAUACUGCUAGUCUUGAGUUCGGGAGAGGUAAGUGGAAUUCCGAGUGUAGAGGUGAAAUUCGUAGAUAUUCGGAGGAACACCAGUGGCGAAGGCGGCUUACUGGCUCGAUACUGACGCUGAGGUGCGAAAGUGUGGGGAGCAAACAGGAUU
rnacentral:rRNA from 1 species